GAUGAACGCUGGCGGCGUGCUUAACACAUGCAAGUCGAACGGUGAACGAGGGAGCUUGCUCCCUCCGGAUCAGUGGCGAACGGGUGAGUAACACGUGAGCAAUCUGCCCUGGACUCUGGGAUAAGCGUUGGAAACGACGUCUAAUACCGGAUACGAGGCGUGGGGGCAUCCCCAACACCUGGAAAGAACUUCGGUCCAGGAUGAGCUCGCGGCCUAUCAGGUAGUUGGUGAGGUAAUGGCUCACCAAGCCUACGACGGGUAGCCGGCCUGAGAGGGUGACCGGCCACACUGGGACUGAGACACGGCCCAGACUCCUACGGGAGGCAGCAGUGGGGAAUAUUGCACAAUGGGCGAAAGCCUGAUGCAGCAACGCCGCGUGAGGGACGACGGCCUUCGGGUUGUAAACCUCUUUUAGCAGGGAAGAAGCGAAAGUGACGGUACCUGCAGAAAAAGCACCGGCUAACUACGUGCCAGCAGCCGCCGUAAUAC
rnacentral:rRNA from 1 species